rnacentral:rRNA from 1 species
GUGGGGAAUUUUGGACAAUGGGCGCAAGCCUGAUCCAGCAAUGCCGCGUGCAGGAAGAAGGCCUUCGGGUUGUAAACUGCUUUUGUACGGAACGAAACGGUCCUGGUUAAUACCUGGGGCUAAUGACGGUACCGUAAGAAUAAGCACCGGCUAACUACGUGCCAGCAGCCGCGGUAAUACGUAGGGUGCGAGCGUUAAUCGGAAUUACUGGGCGUAAAGCGUGCGCAGGCGGUGCUGUAAGACAGGCGUGAAAUCCCCGGGCUCAACCUGGGAAUUGCGCUUGUGACUGCAGUGCUGGAGUACGGCAGAGGGAGAUGGAAUUCCGCGUGUAGCAGUGAAAUGCGUAGAUAUGCGGAGGAACACCGAUGGCGAAGGCAGUCCCCUGGGCCUGUACUGACGCUCAUGCACGAAAGCGUGGGGAGCAAACAGGAUUAGAAACCCUGGUAGUCC